CUUCAGAUCAGAAGAGUUUAAUCAGGUAAUUGUCUGCAGGAAGGAAGAAACCAAAAGACAAAAUCCACAUAAGAAAUUUUCUUUAGGGGGAAAACUAAUUUUGCAAAAUAUAUGAGCAAUAUAAAGUGGAGGGCAAAGAGGUGGAUUCCUCUGCCACAUGAAAUAAAACAUAUUUUUUACUGAUUAAAAUGUUUACUUGAAAAAGGGUUCAGAGGGUACCUGAUUUUGCUCUCUUCAUUUUUCUUCUAGUUAAAGGAGCAAUACACGUAUGGAUAUUGAUGAAAAAAAUGUGGUUCCCCACAGACAUCUUUCUGCAUGUAUGAUAUCCUAGAAGGGAGGAAACAGCUUGAGCCUGAAGGUCUCUAGUUUUUGACUACAAGGCAUAAAGACUGCUGUUGUGUUCUGCUUUUUAGAGAUGCUGAGCAGCCAUAAAUAUGGAUGAAGUCAAGGGAGCCAUAGGUCUAAAUUGAGGAUGAGCAGAUACUGAAAUGCCCAACUCAUUGUACUUGGGUGAAAAAGGAUACCAUGGAAGUGUCAAAAGGUAUGGCAUUUUGACAAGUCCUGAAAGGACAACUGAAUGCCAGCAUCUGUCCUUCAAACAACAGAAUUUCAAAGACAGGAGAGGGAAGAAGAUAGCAGUGAGUAUCGUUUGGUGGAACAUUCCCAAUCAUUUUUUUUUUUUUUUUUUUUUUUUUGCAAAUAGUUGUUCAAAUGAAUGAGCUGUAAUUAACUAUUCACAUCUUUUUUUGUGUUUGCUUUCCACAAAUAAUCCAGUAUAUCAGUUUAUUGGCAAGAAUGAUCAAUGCUGCAAUGACUUUGCAUUUAUAAUUAUUAUUAUUACUAGCAGGCAGAUUCUGAGAGAUAUCCUCAACCAAUUAGAAAACAAACAUGUGACUGAUAUGUCCAAUCAGAUUCCCUUUUGAAUGCCAAAUAUCAGAUACACUGGUUAAACUGCCUUCCAAUAACGUG
rnacentral:lncRNA from 1 species